AUUGAACGCUGGCGGCAGGCCUAACACAUGCAAGUCGAGCGGAUGAAGGGAGCUUGCUCCUGGAUUCAGCGGCGGACGGGUGAGUAAUGCCUAAGAAUCUGCCUGGUAGUGGGGGAUAACGUCCGGAAACGGGCGCUAAUACCGCAUACGUCCUGAGGGAGAAAGUGGGGGAUCUUCGGACCUCACGCUAUCAGAUGAGCCUAGGUCGGAUUAGCUAGUUGGUGGGGUAAAGGCCUACCAAGGCGACGAUCCGUAACUGGUCUGAGAGGAUGAUCAGUCACACUGGAACUGAGACACGGUCCAGACUCCUACGGGAGGCAGCAGUGGGGAAUAUUGGACAAUGGGCGAAAGCCUGAUCCAGCCACGCCGCGUGUGUGAAGAAGGUCUUCGGAUUGUAAAGCACUUUAAGUUGGGAGGAAGGGCAGUAAGUUAAUACCUUGCUGUUUUGACGUUACCAACAGAAUAAGCACCGGCUAACUUCGUG
rnacentral:rRNA from 1 species